UAGACAACAACAAAAUUUAUCAAAUAAUUGAAAACAUAAAUUUCAAAAUUUAUAAAUAUGUAUAUGUAAUAACAGUUUAUAUAUUUUGAGCUUAUUAUAGAUUACUUCUAGUCUAGUAUAUGUGUUAUUCAACAAAUGAUGUCGCCUCCAAGUUUACAGUCGCUCAGAUCGAAUAAUGGGUACUACAGAUUGAUUGGCAUUUACUUAAAGGAUUUUUGGGCUUGGGAUCAGCGCCUAUACUAAUUGAACUGGUGGCAUUCUAAGACUUGGCAAAAAAUUAAUUUCUUUAACGAAAAAAUAUUUGUCUACUUAUGUGACCCUCACAUAAUUGACUUACACGCAAAGCAAUACAUCAAAGGCUAAAGUUCAACAGAUUUCCAAACAAUUUGCGCACAAAGAAGGCAACAAAAGCAAAUUUACCAAAUCAAAAAUCGGCAAACCCACACCGAGAAAAAUAGCGCAACCUUAUUUAAAAUCCACUGAGCGCUUUGGCUUCUCAAUCAGCGACGGCAGCAAGACGAAUUAGUAACCACAGAGCAUUACAAAACAAUUACUCAAUAAUGUCAAACUACACCGAGUCACUCAAUGCGUUUUCCGUUUGCAAUGGUUUCCUAAAUCUUCAUUUGGCAUAAAUAAAUUCCUGUCACAAUUGC